rnacentral:sRNA from 1 species
GCUUCUGGAACUUGGUGACCAUCUUGGUGCUGCAGGGCCGGCUGGAUGAGGCCCGACAGAUGCUCUCCAAGGAAGCUGACGCCAGCCCCGCCUCUGCAGGCAUAUGCCGAAUCAUGGGGGACCUGAUGAGGACAAUGCCCAUUCUCAGUCCCGGGAACACCCAGACACUGACAGAGCUGGAGCUGAAGUGGCAGCACUGGCACGAGGAAUGCGAGCGGUACCUCCAGGACAGCACAUUCGCCACCAGCCCUCACCUGGAGUCUCUCUUGAAGAUUAUGCUGGGAGACGAAGCUGCCUUGUUAGAGCAGAAGGAACUUCUGAGUAAUUGGUAUCAUUUCCUAGUGACUCGGCUCUUGUACUCCAAUCCCACAGUAAAACCCAUUGAUCUGCACUACUACGCCCAGGUGAGUGAGCUCGGGGAGGGCAAGGGUGGGGGUAGGAGUCCUGGGGGUGCCCUGAUGGGUCAUUCUCUUUGAAUUCCUCCCUGAGGAACAGGAAGACCCUUUCCUUUGGCCCUUAGUGAA